rnacentral:rRNA from 1 species
AUUGAACGCUGGCGGCAUGCCUUACACAUGCAAGUCGAACGGUAACAGGUCUUCGGACGCUGACGAGUGGCGAACGGGUGAGUAAUACAUCGGAACGUACCUAGUAGUGGGGGAUAACUACUCGAAAGAGUGGCUAAUACCGCAUGAGAUCUACGGAUGAAAGCAGGGGAUCGCAAGACCUUGUGCCACUAGAGCGGCCGAUGGCAGAUUAGGUAGUUGGUGGGAUAAAAGCUUACCAAGCCGACGAGCUGUAGCUGGUCUGAGAGGACGAUCAGCCACACUGGGACUGAGACACGGCCCAGACUCCUACGGGGGGCAGCAGUGGGGAAUUUUGGACAAUGGGCGAAAGCCUGAUCCAGCAAUGCCGCGUGCAGGAUGAAGGCCUUCGGGUUGUAAACUGCUUUUGUACGGAACGAAAAGCCCUGGGUUAAUACCCUGGGGUCAUGACGGUACCGUAAGAAUAAGCACCGGCUAACUACGUGCCAGCAGCCGCCGUAA